AUGUGCAGGCAGCCCUGGCUCUCCGGCUGUAAAGUCAAAGGGGAGGGAAGCCGAAGCAGGUCCAAGGAGGCCAACCUGGCUCUCAUCUGCUGCCAAACGGGGGAAGAGAGGCACUGCUUUGUCCCAAAGGGCGCCCGCCCAGAGCUUCAGCGAGGCUCCUUUGCCCCAGCGCCCUCCAAAGCAUCUCCAGGAGGCAAGCCCCAGCAGCCUGGACUUCAGCUCAGCUGGGCAGUCCUUUCCAAACUCAAUAGCGCCCCUGGGAAGGUGGCGCCCAACGCGGGGGCGUGGCCAGCGUGCCGUGUUGGGCCGGGCCUGCAUACCUCCAACCCCAGGGCUGUUCCAAAGGGCAAGAAAGGAAAUGGCACCAGUACAAAGGCUCACAGAGCAAGGAACGGCACCAGCAGGUCGACAUGCGGCUAAAGCAUUACCGGGAUAGACACCCAUCUAAAUUGGAUUGGGAAGAUCACCCACCCUUGCUUGGACUUGCGAGCUUCUCUUUGGACAGCUUGGAAUAUCAGCUUCCCCAGGGGACUCAUUACUUAUGGACUGGGACUGUUCUUGGGUCAGGGCUCUGUGCCCCUCCUGUUGGGUUAAUUUCAUCCUUUUGUUGGAUCACGGGGUGUGUAGGUUGUUUGUUUUUGGUUUAUUGACAGGAUUGGUGGCAAGGGGAGUGGGUGGCCCACCCUCCUUUUUUGUGGCGUUUGGGCAUGGGCCCUGGAUCUGGUUGGCCUCCCCCCCUAUUGGAGGUGGGGGGAGUGCCCGGUUUGCCAGAGGUGCGGGGUAACGUUGGCUCGAUCUUUUACCCGGCUGCACCCUGGCGUGCUUGGUAUCAGUCAGCACUGGGCUGACCGAUGUUAGAUCCAGGACCCAUGCAUGUCAGCCAACCCCUUUUGUUACCGUUAUCAAUAAACAAGUUGUGGUCAAUUUUUACCCAACCACGUGUUUGAGUCUUCCUUGGUUUCAUGUUGGAAGGUAUGUUCCCCUACCCACGCAAAGAAAUUAAGAAUAUUGUGUACAUGGUUAAAGAUAACAGUAUAGAGAAAAUACAUGGUUGGAGAGAUGGGUGAUGGGUGGACAACACUAGUAGCUUUUUUAUUAAGAAAAAUUAGUUAAAUGUUAAUAAGAAAAGGAUGCAUAAAAGAUCAAGGUAUAUAGGUAAUAACCAGCAAUAAGACUUAGAAAUAUGGAUGCAAAAGGUGUAUGUGUAUUUGCACCAUAAUUAAGUGUAAAUAAUAUGAUGAAAAAGUAAUAAGUAAUAAGUAAUAGUAAUAAUAAUAAACAUGGGAGGCUUCCUGUGUUCUGCUGGCUCCAAUUGAUCUAGCAUGGGUCCUCUACGGAAGGGUGAUGCUUCCCCCAUGUGGUGGGGAAUGUAUCACCAAAAGGGAGCUGUGCAUGAGGUGACAUAUUCACCCCACUGUCCCUCUCUUUUCUCCCUAAAGCCAGGUGAAGCAUGAAGCUUUGCCUGGCCUUUGUGAUGAGGCCCUAAUACUCUUAGAUGCUUUUUACAUGUGCUGCUGCUAUUCCUGAGAUCAUUUAUCCUAUAUUCAUUUGCCUAAAUUGAGAACUUCAUAUUUAUCCUUGAUAAAAUAAAUCGUGUUCGUGUCUUUUAAGACUAUCUGUUGAUUUUUCUGCUUUGAGAUAUUAGCUAGCAAAUCUGGGAAGUCUAACAGCAACACCUUCACAUUUCAUUUCCAUUGCCCCUGCAUACAAACUUUCUAUGCUGUCCAAACUAGAAACAUAGUUGUCAUUUGGGUUGUUGUAUGUCUUUCGGGCUGUGUGGCCAUGUUCCAGAAGCAUUCUCUCCUGACGUUUCGCCCACAUCUAUGGCAGGCAUCCUCAGAGGUUGUGAGGUUGUCAUUUCUUUUUGGAAUGAUGAGGAACCAUAGCUGUGGGGUUUUUUUUUUGUUAUAGUCCAUCCAUCCUCCAGGCCUCCACCUAACAAUAGUAUUGUUUGCCCCCAUUCUAUCAGAACUAUAUAUGUAAGAAUAUAUUGGGAGAUCUUACUGAAAGCUUUGCUAUAAACAUGAUAUACUGAAUCCCCAGCAUUCCCCGGAUCUACUGAGUUUGUAACUUAUACAAUGGCACAGCCAUUUGUAGAAAAGUACAUUUGAAUUGCUCAAAAUUGCAUUUUAAAAAUGUGUUGUUUUUAUAAAGUGGUAUGUCAAAGCAAGAGUCUGAAUUUUAGGUGCUUUCUUUGAGUGUCUAGAGAACAUAUGCAUGUGUUUAAUUACAAACUACAAGCUUUCUGGGGAAAUAUUUUCUUUUACUAUACAAGAUUAUCCAGAUGGCUGGAACUAAAUUGCAUAAAAGAUUGUUAUGACUGGCAGUUUAAAAAAUUCAGUAAUUUCAAACAAAAGAUUUAUACUCUGUACACAAGCAGUACAGUGGAUGUACAAUUCUCAAAUGAGUUCCAUUUGCUGCUGGACACAAUCAGAUUAGAACUGGUAGAGGAGGAAUAUAACAAAACUGGCACAUGUGAUUCUUAACCAUUCUGUUUCUUUGAUCCUGUAUUUUUGCUUUUUACAGAACACAUGGAUAACUUAUAAGGCAGGGGCAAUUUUUGACUGCAGUGGGCUUUUAAUGAUGCGCUGCUUUGUAGUUUUUUAUAUCCUGUCCUUUAAUGAAUUUUUAAAUAGUUUUAACCCUAUAGAUUGUCUAAUUGAACAAACCUUGCCAAGAAAAAACUGCAAUGAAAUGACUUGAAGGUACAGGAUAAUAACAACAAAGACACAUUGCAUCCCAAAAUUGGAGAAAAUUAAGGAUAAUGAUGAUGAUAAUAAUAACAACAACAAUAGAAAAUAUUUGCAAUUUGUCUACAGUAAAAAAUAAUAAGAAGCCUAUGUAAUCUUCUAUCUUUGCAGCAAAGGUACAUACAACAUUUGUAGUGGAUCUAUUCCUUGAUCCUACCAUAUUUGUUAAAAAUGUCCUGGACUAGAUCUACGACCUUGUCACAUGCGCCACAGGAAUCACUGGCAAUCCCAGCGGCUCCCACCCAGGGGGUGUGGGGACCUUUCACAUUACAUUGUCCUAGCUUCCCCUCUAUCUCAUCACACAGUGGGAAUCCUCUUUAAGCUGGCUUAGCACAUUUUUGCUUAUGGAAAGAUGAGGAUGCUCCCAUUGUGCACCACCAGUGAUUUUUUGGUGGCAGCAGUGUUUUUUCCCUUACUUUCACCACAGAGCUGCCCAGAAAUAAUUUCAAUAUGUAUGAUGGGGGCCAGUGGGCUUCUAUGGCGAAAGUGGAAAAAACCGGUUAUGCAGCCAAAAUUAAGACCAUGUGAAGAAGUCACUAGAUUGUCCAUUCUAGGUUUUCUACUGUAUGUCUAGA
rnacentral:lncRNA from 1 species